GCGAAACUGCGAAUGGCUCAUUAAAUCAGUUAUUGUUCAUUUGAUAGCACCUUACUACAUGGAUAACCGUGGUAAUUCUAGAGCUAAUACAUGCUAGAAACCCCGACUAACGAAGGGGUGUAUUUAUUAGAUUCAAAACCAAUGCCCUUCGGGGCUCCUUGGUGAUUCAUAAUAACUUCUCGGAUCGCAUGGCCUUGCGCCGGCGAUGGUUCAUUCAAAUUUCUGCCCUAUCAACUUUCGAUGGCUGGGUCUUGGCCAGCCAUGGUGACAACGGGUAACGGAGGGUUAGGGCUCGACCCCGGAGAAGGAGCCUGAGAGACGGCUACUACAUCCAAGGAAGGCAGCAGGCGCGCAAAUUACCCAAUCCCAAUUCGGGGAGGUAGUGACAAUACAUACUGAUACAGGGCUCUUUUGGGUCUUGUAAUUGGAAUGAGUACAAUUUAAAUCCCUUAACGAGGAACAAUUGGAGGGCAAGUCUGGUGCCAGCAGCCGCGGUAAUUCCAGCUCCAAUAGCGUAUAUUAAAGUUGUUGAGGUUAAAAAGCUCGUAGUUGAACCUUGGGCCUGGCUGGCCGGUCCGCCUCACCGCGUGCACUGGUCCGGCCGGGUCUUUCCCUCUGGGGAGCCGCAUGCCCUUUACUGGGUGUGCCGGCGAACCAGGACUUUUACUCUGAAUAAAUCAGAUCGCUUAAAGAAGGCCUAUGCUUGAAUGUUCUAGCAUGGAAUAAUAGAAUAGGACGUGGUGGUUCUAUUUUGUUGGUUUCUAGGACCGCCGUAAUGAUUAAUAGGGACAGUCGGGGGCAUCAGUAUUCAAUUGUCAGAGGUGAAAUUCUUGGAUUUAUUGAAGACUAACUACUGCGAAAGCAUUUGCCAGAGGAUGUUUUCAUUAAUCAGGAACGAAAGUUAGGGGAAUCGAAGACGAUCAGAUACCGUCGUAGUCUUAACCAUAAACUAUGCCGAUUAGGGAUCGGACGGUGUUAUUAUUUGACCCGUUCGGCACCUUACGAAAAAUCAA
rnacentral:rRNA from 1 species